GACUGCAGUCAGACCAUUGGAGAGAAUCAUAAAGGGCAAGGGAAAGAAGGAAGGACAGGUCACAUGUUAAGAGAGGAAAAGGAGAUAAAGCCAGGAUGGCUUCAGCUACUGACUCCUUGUGGAAACAAAGCUUCUAUUAGCCCAUAGAAAAUGAGAAGUCUCCGAGGAUACUGAAAAAGGUUAUCAUGUGUUCAAGUCUUUAGACUCAAGGAUCAUAAAAGACUAUUGAGAGAUGAAAAGAAGAAGAAACCAUGAAAUGGAUGAUGUGGUCCCUAGGAGAUUCUGGAGCUGAAAGCAUGGUAUUCUUAAAGAGGAGAUGGAAAUAAGAUCCUUCCAGUCAUUGCCUGUGAUUUACACCUAGCUCCUGUACACCUCUCACCUUGGAAUCCUUCCUCCUAUCUCCCCUUCAAAGGAUGCUUGUUUCAUCUCAGAGAUGCUGGUAGGUUAAUUGCUUGCUCCCCACAUGAAAACAAGCUCCAAAAAAAUGAAUAAAGGACAAGGGACUCAACUGAGUGACAGAAGACAAUACAAGAACUGAUGUCUGACAAAACUGGAAUGACACCUCUGAUAACAGACUGGCACAGUUAGCAUCUUCUUCCCAAGCACUACAAAUUACCCAACUGUGGGGGGGAUGGGCAAGGCAGAAAUAAUCACUACCUGCAAAACAAUUUCACACUAGAAUAAACAGAGAAGAGAUAAAAUAAUAAAUGUAUUU
rnacentral:lncRNA from 1 species